AGUGGGAGAACAUGCUAUCCACCGAAGCAUACAAGACCAACCUUAUAGGCAUCGUCGUGGAUGAAGUCCAUCUUACAUACAAGUGGGGGAAUGCGGGGAGAGGACAAAAGGCCUUCAGAGAAAGCUUUGCAAGGUUGGGGGAACUUCGAGCAAUCGUCAAACCAGGAACACCUGUAUUGGCUUUGACUGCAUCAGCUGAUUUGCACUCAAGAGACAUUGUGAGAAGACGGCUACACUUCCAGAAUGCAGUCAACAUU